ACCAAGUGACCUGCAAUUCUUACCCAUGUAGCUCUAUCAUAUCUGCAACCAGGAUGUUCACCAUUUGUUUACGGGUUGCAUCAGUUAGUGUUUUAGUCUUAUCAUACUCAUUGAAGACUUCUUCACCCUUUGGAUUGGCCCUCAGAACACCCUCAACCAUCUGCCAAGAAAUAUUACAUUGUUAUGGCAUGCUUACGAAUAACGGUGGAAUCAGAUGAAUGGGAUAAAGCUGGGGAUAGUGCAGUCUGUGCCACUACCAAGGAUGAAUGGGAUGAAGUUGGGGACAGCGAUGUCAAUACGGAGGAGGAUGCUUGAUCUGCAACCAGCUC
ensembl:lncRNA